GCAGGUGAAGUGUUGAGGUGACACGCUGGUGCGCCACACCAGAGUCGUCGGGUUCAAUUCCCACCACCUGCU
rnacentral:tRNA from 2 species